CCGGCCCCCGCACCGGCCCCCGCACCGGCAGCGGCACCGGGUCGGUCUGGCCGCCGGGCCGCCCAGCGCAGGGGCGGUAGGAGCCCUGCCCGGAGCGUUCGCCACCCGCCGGGGGCGUGCCUGGGGAUAGAGGCGGCGGGCGGGUUGCGGGGCGGCCGCGGGGCUCUGCCUCCCGCCUCGCUUUCCCCCCGCCGGCAAGAAGCUUGAACGACUUCCUGGGGACCUGUCACAGUCACUCCCCAUAGCACCGUGAGGAAGUUGCUUCUCUGUGCUCUAUAGUGGGCCCAGCUGUAAAAUGGGAAUCAUGACGUUUAUCUAUGAGAGACACUGAAACUUCCACGUGAAAAACGUCAGUGCAAAUUUAAACCUUUAGGAAUAGAUGAAUUUGCCUUAUGCUGUCUCAAGAAACAGAAUGAAACCCCCACCCUUUUGUGGUGACUGAUCCUGUUUCUCUGAAGCCUUUUGGAAUAGAACUGAAGUAUUCUGCAUGUACAGAAAUCCACCCAAAGGCUAUCCAAGCUUGUAAAGUGUCAGAUGGGCCAAGCUCAUUAAAUAAGAGCAAGAUUCCAAAAGCACUUUGGAAAAUUCAUAUUUUCCUUCCACUGGCAACACUGAAUUUUUUGUAUCCCUGCAUAAAAAUGUUUAUCAUGCAUUAAGUUGUUACUGUAUGGCAUUUAUAAAAAUUAUUUCCUUCCCCCCACUA